GGGAAGGUAGCUCAGUGGCAGAGCACUUGCCUUGCAUGCAUGAGGCCCUGGGUUCGAUUCCUCAGCACCA
rnacentral:tRNA from 1 species